UUUGCGUCGAAGGUAUACCGGUAAGGAGUGCUGGAGCGAAUAGAAGUGAGCAUGCAGGCAUGAGUAGCGAUAAUUAAUGUGAGAAUCAUUAACGCCGUAAACCCAAGGUUUCCUACGCGAUGCUCGUCAUCGUAGGGUUAGUCGGGUCCUAAGUCGAGUCCGAAAGGGGUAGACGAUGGCAAAUUGGUUAAUAUUCCAAUACCAACAUUAGUGUGCGAUGGAAGGACGCUUAGGGCUAAGGGGGCUAGCGGAUGGAAGUGCUAGUCUAAGGUCGUAGGAGGUUGUACAGGCAAAUCCGUAUAACAAUACUCCGAGAACUGAAAGGCUUUUUGAAGUCUUCGGAUGGAUAGAAGAACCCCUGAUGCCGUCGAGCCAAGAAAAGUUUCUAAGUUUAGCUAAUGUUGCCCGUACCGUAAACCGACACAGGUGGGUGGGAUGAGUAUUCUAAGGCGCGUGGAAGAACUCUCUUUAAGGAACUCUGCAAAAUAGCACCGUAUCUUCGGUAUAAGGUGUGGUUAGCUUUGUAUUAGGAUUUACUCCGAAAGCGAAGAAACUUACAACAAAGAGUCCCUCCCGACUGUUUACCAAAAACACAGCACUCUGCUAACUCGUAAGAGGAUGUAUAGGGUGUGACGCCUGCCCGGUGCUCGAAGGUUAAUUGAUGGGGUUAGCAUUAGCGAAGCUCUUGAUCGAAGCCCGAGUAAACGGCGGCCGUAACUAUAACGGUCCUAAGGUAGCGAAAUUCCUUGUCGGUUAAAUACCGACCUGCAUGAAUGGCGUAACGAGAUGGGAGCUGUCUCAAAGAGGGAUCCAGUGAAAUUGUAGUGGAGGUGAAAAUUCCUCCUACCCGCGGCAAGACGGAAAGACCCCGUGGACCUUUACUACAGCUUGACACUGCUACUUGGAUAAGAAUGUGCAGGAUAGGUGGGAGGCUUUGAGUAUAUGACGCCAGUUGUAUAUGAGCCAUUGUUGAGAUACCACUCUUUCUUAUUUGGGUAGCUAACCAGCUUGAGUUAUCCUCAAGUGGGACAAUGUCUGGUGGGUAGUUUGACUGGGGCGGUCGCCUCCCAAAUAAUAACGGAGGCUUACAAAGGUUGGCUCAGAACGGUUGGAAAUCGUUCGUAGAGUAUAAAGGUAUAAGCCAGCUUAACUGCAAGACAUACAAGUCAAGCAGAGACGAAAGUCGGUCUUAGUGAUCCGGUGGUUCUGUGUGGAAGGGCCAUCGCUCAAAGGAUAAAAGGUACCCCGGGGAUAACAGGCUGAUCUCCCCCAAGAGCUCACAUCGACGGGGAGGUUUGGCACCUCGAUGUCGGCUCAUCGCAUCCUGGGGCUGGAGCAGGUCCCAAGGGUAUGGCUGUUCGCCAUUUAAAGCGGUACGCGAGCUGGGUUCAGAACGUCGUGAGACAGUUCGGUCCCUAUCUGCCGUGGGCGUAAGAAGAUUGAAGAGAUUUGACCCUAGUACGAGAGGACCGGGUUGAACAAACCACUGGUGUAGCUGUUGUUCUGCCAAGAGCAUCGCAGCGUAGCUAAGUUUGGAAAGGAUAAACGCUGAAAGCAUCUAAGCGUGAAGCCAACUCUAAGAUGAAUCUUCUCUAAGCUCUCUAGAAGACUACUAGUUUGAUAGGCUGGGUGUGUAAUGGAUGAAAGUCCUUUAGCUGACCAGUACUAAUAGAGCGUUUGGCUUAUCUUUAAUAAAGCAU
rnacentral:rRNA from 1 species